AUUGAUACUAAGCUAUGCGAGUCAUUGUAGCAAUACAAGGCAGACGGCUCAGUAACGCGUAGUCAAUCUACCCUAUGGACGGGAAUAACCUCGGGAAACUGAGAAUAAUGCCCGAUAGAACAUUAUGCCUGGAAUGGUUUAUGUUUCAANUCNANUUAUCGCCAUAGGAUGGGACUGCGGCCUAUCAGUUUGUUGGUGAGGUAAUGGCCCACCAAGACUAUUACAGGUACGGGCUCUGAGAGGGGUGGCCCGGAGAUGGGUACUGAGACACGGACCCAGGCCCUAUGGGGCGCAGCAGGCGAGAAAACUUUGCAAUGUGCGAAAGCACGACAAGGUUAAUCCGAGUGGUUUCUGCUAAAGAAACCUUUUGUCAGUCCUAGAAACACUAACGAGUAAGGGGUGGGCAAGUUCUGGUGUCAGCCGCCGCGGUAAAACCAGCACCUCAAGUGGUCAGGAUGAUUAUUGGGCCUAAAGCAUCCGUAGCUCGUUUUGUAAGUUUUCGGUUAAAUCCAUACGCUUAACGUAUGGGCUGCCGGGAAUACUGCAUAACUAGGAAGUGGGAGAGGUAGACGGUACUCGGUAGGAAGGGGUAAAAUCCUUUGAUCUAUUGAUGACCACCUGUGGCGAAGGCGGUCUACCAGAACACGUUCGACGGUGAGGAUGAAAGCUGGGGGAGCAAACCGGAUUAAAUACCGGGUAGUCCAGCUGUAACUAUGCAACUCAGUGAUGCAUUGGCUGUGGCAAUGCAUGCUGCAGGAACCGUUAAUUUGCCGCCUGGGA
rnacentral:rRNA from 1 species